UACGUAGGGUGCGAGCGUUGUCCGGAAUUAUUGGGCGUAAAGAGCUCGUAGGCGGUUUGUCGCGUCUGCUGUGAAAAACUGGAGGCUCAACCUCCAGCCUGCAGUGGGUACGGGCAGACUAGAGUGCGGUAGGGGGAGAUUGGAAUUCCUGGUGUAGCGGUGGAAUGCGUAGAGAUCCGGAGGAAGACCGGUGGCGAAGGCGGUCUGCUGGGCAGUUUCUGACACUGAGGCGCGACAGCGUGGGGAGCAAACAGG
rnacentral:rRNA from 1 species